rnacentral:lncRNA from 1 species
CGGGAAAUAUCUACCUGUGGUAGGCGAGACACUACAAGUGGUUGGUGCGAACCUAAUCCUUGUAAGAAUGGCCAAUGUGUGAUGGCUUCUCGAGAAGAAACGUAUGUCUGUAAAUGUCACCAAGGUUACACUGGAGUCAACUGUACUCACAGAACAGCCAGUCCUAAAACCAUAAUCGUUAUUGGUUCUGUUAUGGGAAUAUUAUUUCUGAUCUCUAUAUCAGUUGUCAUUUUUCUGGUAAUCAGAUUGAGAAAUUUAAUAAAGUCGAGCAAAUAUCAGAAGGAUCCUUAAUCAUCUCAUUCAAAGAAUUCAGUCACAGAAAUAAUUCUGCAUCAGUGGAUAAAACAUUUCACACUAUAUUUUCUGAUUUUUUAUGAACCAGGUUUAUAAUGUGGUGAAGGA